GAUGAACGCUGGCGGCGUGCCUAAUACAUGCAAGUCGAGCGAACGGACGAGAAGCUUGCUUUUCUGAUGUUAGCGGCGGACGGGUGAGUAACACGUGGAUAACCUACCUAUAAGACUGGGAUAACUUCGGGAAACCGGAGCUAAUACCGGAUAAUAUUUUGAACCGCAUGGUUCAAAAGUGAAAGACGGUCUUGCUGUCACUUAUAGAUGGAUCCGCGCUGCAUUAGCUAGUUGGUAAGGUAACGGCUUACCAAGGCAACGAUGCAUAGCCGACCUGAGAGGGUGAUCGGCCAGACUGGAACUGAGACACGGUCCAGACUCCUACGGGAGGCAGCAGUAGGGAAUCUUCCGCAAUGGGCGAAAGCCUGACGGAGCAACGCCGCGUGAGUGAUGAAGGUCUUCGGAUCGUAAAACUCUGUUAUUAGGGAAGAACAUAUGUGUAAGUAACUGUGCACAUAUUGACGGUACCUAAUCAGAAAGCCACGGCUAACUACGUG
rnacentral:rRNA from 1 species